rnacentral:tRNA from 1 species
GCCUCUGUAGUAUAACGGACCAGAAUACGGGCUUGCGGAGCUUGAGAUCGGGGUUCAAUUCCCCGCAGAGGCA